UACGUAGGGGGCUAGCGUUGUCCGGAUUUAUUGGGCGUAAAGAGCGUGUAGGCGGCCAAGUAGGUCCGGUGUGAAAACUCGAGGCUUAACCUCGAGAUGUCAUCGGAAACCAUUUGGCUAGAGUCCGGAAGAGGAAAGUGGAAUUCCUGGUGUAGCGGUGAAAUGCGUAGAGAUCGGGAAGAACAUCGGUGGCGAAAGCGCUCUACUGGACCGCAACUGACACUCAGGGACGAAAGCUAGGGGAGCGAAUGGG
rnacentral:rRNA from 1 species